rnacentral:rRNA from 1 species
UACGGAGGAUGCAAGCGUUAUCCGGAAUGAUUGGGCGUAAAGCGUCCGCAGGUGGCUAUGUAAGUCUGCUGUUAAAGCGUCUGGCUCAACCAGAUAAAGGCAGUGGAAACUACAUAGCUAGAGUAAGGUAGGGGUAGAGGAAAUUCCUGGUGUAGCGGUGAAAUGCGUAGAGAUCAGGAAGAACACCGGUGGCGAAAGCGCUCUGCUGGACCUUAACUGACACUGAGGGACGAAAGCUAGGGGAGCGAAUGGG